UACGUAGGCAGCGAGCGUUGUUCGGAAUUACUGGGCGUAAAGAGUGUGUAGGCGGUGCUCUAAGUUCGGUGUGAAAUCUCCUGGCUCAACUGGGAGGGUGCGCCGGAAACUGGAGUGCUUGAGCGUGGGAGAGGAAAGCGGAAUUCCUGGUGUAGCGGUGAAAUGCGCAGAUAUCAGGAGGAACACCGGUGGCGAAGGCGGAUCUCUGGGCCAUUACUGACGCUGAGGAGCGAAAGCGUGGGGGAGCGAACAGG
rnacentral:rRNA from 1 species